UUUAGGUGGUGCAGAACACAGAGCCGGCAGUUCAUGUGAGAGGCCAGGAGCCCCUUACUGCCUCAAUGCUGGCAGCUGCACCAUUAAAAGAGCAGAAACAACUCCUGGGUGAGAGGUUGUAUCCUCUUAUCCAGGCUUUGCAUCCUGCACUUGCGGGAAAGAUCACAGGCAUGCUUCUGGAGAUUGACAACUCUGAACUACUGCACAUGCUUGAGUCUCCAGAGUCCCUGGACUCUAAGGUUGAGGAGGCAGUAGCAGUACUUCAGGCUCAUCAAGCCAAGGAACUGUCGACCAAGUGAGGAAGCUCUGCAUGCAACUGAAGGUCUGUGAAUGUUGUUCCAGAGAAUGGGGGGGAAGGAAAACCAUUGAAAACAGUACUUCAGAUUCAUGUUAUUUAAUCCAUGGUUUGCACACUGCAAAUGUCCUUUUUCUCUCCACAAUAUUAAGUUUGUUCUGAUUUUGAUUAAAAAAAAAAGAAAGAAAAAAAAAAGACAAAAGGCUAAAAAAUAUUUUUUGAAAUUUCUGUGUGCAAUAAAGUGAUCCUGGCUUAAUAGA